AGUUCAGAACUGGACUGAUAAAAUGACUCCAGGAUAGCUCCUGGUAUGUGGCUACAAGAACCUACUAGGAAGGAAACAGCAGGAGCACCUUGGGUUCAAAGUACCUGCUUCUUGUGUUUCAUCAUGACAGCAGAAACAGUGCACCACCGGGAGACAGAAGCCUAAAGUGAAGUAGCAGGAAGUGACUAACCGUGAUUGGAGUGGGUCAGAGGGCAUUACCCUUGGGAUUGGAGACAAUUGAAGCAAACACCUGCUCCCACAACAAUGCCUCUAUGGCCUUGGCCCACUUCCUCUGCUGUGACAAGCAUCUUCACAACAGAUGAAGCAGGAACUUCAUCGCAAAGAAGUCCAUGGAGCCGCCAAACUGGAGAAGGCUAUUGUAGAAAAAUCAAAUUAUGUUUUAUGGUUCUGACCCAUCACAGACAGCCAGUUAUUACUUAUCUGAAGGAGGAAGAGGAGAAAUUAGAGAAGCAGUG